GGGGCUUGGUGAUGUCAUUAAGUCUUCAUCUUGCUCCUUCUUUGGAAGGCCAAGGUGGGCGGAUGAUGAGGUCAAGAGAUAGAGACCAUCCUGGCCAACAUGGUGAAACCGUAUUUUCUUUGGUUUGAAGGUAAGGGCUUUUGCUGGUUUACUUAGUGGGCCUUCCAAGAUGGUUUUCUGAAGAUGUUUGUGUCAUCCUAGAGUCAUGCCAUGGACCAGAGUGAGAAAAGCCAUCCUUUAAGGAAAUCAGACCAACCUUUGUUGAACAGCACUGGACCAUUAGAGAUAAUGGUGAAAUCUGGGACCAACUGAAUCCCUCACUGCAAGAAAGGAGGCAUGUAGGGAGAAAGGGUUGUAUGU
rnacentral:lncRNA from 1 species